ACUGUGGCACACAGGACACGGA
rnacentral:miRNA from 1 species